UACGUAGGGUGCAAGCGUUGUCCGGAAUUAUUGGGCGUAAAGAGCUCGUAGGCGGUCUGUCGCGUCUGCUGUGAAAACUCAGGGCUUAACCCUGAGCUUGCAGUGGGUACGGGCAGACUAGAGUGCGGUAGGGGAGACUGGAAUUCCUGGUGUAGCGGUGGAAUGCGCAGAUAUCAGGAGGAACACCGGUGGGCGAAGGCGGAUCUCUGGGCCUUACCUGACGC
rnacentral:rRNA from 1 species